UAACAUCGUGGGCCAAGAGCAUGUGCCUUUCCGGAUCUUACGACGUCAAAGUCUCAGUUCAGAGCUCGUCCUCGUUCUGACAGUUUCUCUCGUGACUCUUUUGUUCAGACGGUGAAACUGUCAAGCGGCUUUCUUGUUCAAAAACAACAGCUCUUGCGUAACAUUAGAGCAGGAUCAUGAAGGUCUGGACUCAGGUGUUUGGCGCUGUGGCGGCAAGUUUAAAUGCAGCCUCAGGAGGCGCCGCCAUUUGCUUCUCAGCCGUGUUAAUCCAUCAACUUAGGGAAGAUGAGGAACUCCAAAUGGACCUUCACGAAGCAUCUUGGAUCCCCACAAUAUUGAUGAUCAGUAGUAUG